rnacentral:tRNA from 1 species
UGGGUUGUGGCUCAAUGGUAGAGCGCUUACCUGGCAUGUGUGAAACCCUGGGUUUGAUUCUCAGCACCGCAU